rnacentral:rRNA from 2 species
GAAAGCUUGCUUUUGAUGGGCGUCGACCGGCGCACGGGUGAGUAACGCGUAUCCAACCUGCCCACCACUUGGGGAUAACCUUGCGAAAGUAAGACUAAUACCCAAUGACGUCUCUAGAAGACAUCUGAAGGAGAUUAAAGAUUUAUCGGUGAUGGAUGGGGAUGCGUCUGAUUAGCUUGUUGGCGGGGUAACGGCCCACCAAGGCGACGAUCAGUAGGGGUUCUGAGAGGAAGGUCCCCCACAUUGGAACUGAGACACGGUCCAAACUCCUACGGGAGGCAGCAGUGAGGAAUAUUGGUCAAUGGACGAGAGUCUGAACCAGCCAAGUAGCGUGCAGGAUGACGGCCCUAUGGGUUGUAAACUGCUUUUAUAAGGGGAUAAAGUGAGUCUCGUGAGACUUUUUGCAUGUACCUUAUGAAUAAGGACCGGCUAAUUCCGUGCCAGCAGCCGCGGUAAUACGGAAGGUCCGGGCGUUAUCCGGAUUUAUUGGGUUUAAAGGGAGCGUAGGCCGGAGAUUAAGCGUGUUGUGAAAUGUAGACGCUCAACGUCUGUACUGCAGCGCGAACUGGUUUCCUUGAGUACGCACAAAGUGGGCGGAAUUCGUGGUGUAGCGGUGAAAUGCUUAGAUAUCACGAAGAACUCUGAUUGCGAAGGCAGCUCACUGGAGCGCAACUGACGCUGAAGCUCGAAAGUGCGGGUAUCGAACAGGAUUAGAUACCCUGGUAGUCCGCACGGUAAACGAUGGAUGCCCGCUGUUGGUCUGAAUAGGUCAGCGGCCAAGCGAAAGCAUUAAGCAUCCCACCUGGGGAGUACGCCGGCAACGGUGCAACUCAAAGGAAUUGACGGA